GACGAACGCUGGCGGCGUGCCUAACACAUGCAAGUCUGGGAGAAUUGGGUAGCAAUAUCCAUUGUAAACCGGCGCACGGGUGAGUAAUAUAUAGGUAAUAUGCCUUUUGGUUUGGAAUAACCCCGCGAAAGCGGGGCUAAUACCGGAUAAUACAGCGAUUCCGCAUGGAGUUGCUGUCAAAGCUUCGGCGCCAAAAGAUUAACCUGUAUCCCAUUAGAUAGUUGGCGAGGUAACGGCUCACCAAGUCUGCGAUGGGCAGCUGAUCUGAGAGGAUGAUCAGCCACACUGGAACUGAGACACGGUCCAGACUCCUACGGGGAGCAGCAGUGAGGAAUAUUGCGCAAUGGAGGAAACUCUGACGCAGCGACGCCGCGUGAAGGAUGAAGGCCCUC
rnacentral:rRNA from 1 species